GUUGGUUAUGGGGAUAAGUUUCCUCAAACAGCAUACGGUUAUAUUGUAGGAUCUCUAUGCGCAGUCUCAGGACUUCUUAUGAUCGCUUUCACAGUGCCAAUCAUUGUUAGUAAU
rnacentral:sRNA from 1 species